rnacentral:piRNA from 1 species
UGGCAUUUGUCUGGUUGUACUUUCUGU